rnacentral:rRNA from 1 species
ACACUGUGCCUAACCGGGGGCGCGGACGGACCGGCCAGCCGGCGACGUACCACCCCGCGUUGAUACGAUACGACAACCCACACGACUCUCGGCAACGGAUAUCUCGGCUCUCGCAUCGAUGAAGAACGUAGCGAAAUGCGAUACAUGGUGUGAAUUGCAAAAUC